AAGUAGUGGUUGACAUGCACAGUCGCAGUCUUUCUUCAAGGAGCAUCUGGCCCACGUUUCUGCCAUGGAGAACAGGUGUGACCUAAGUGCAGAGCCCUGAGCAGCUGACUUCUGCUUGGAAUUCUAAACUAAUGGACCAGACACAUGACCCAGUCUAACCAGCAUACUCCACCUGAUACAGGGAGAGGUUCGGUGAUGGACAUGUAACUCUGAGCCCAGCAAAGUUCUCCCUGUGAUAUUAUGUUGCUAAAAGAGGACCUUUCUGUCCAUGCCGAGAAAUCCAAGGUAUCUGAGGGUCAUAUAAUCAUGCUAUUAACAGGACUGAAAAUCUGAAUUCUCUACCUCAAAUAAAUGUUAGUAGGAACCAGGCAAAGAGGUGGGAAAAAUAGCAGAAGAUAAGAUUGGGACCCAGGAAGAUCCAGAGAAAUACACAAAGACCACCUGAUGUGUAUUUUACUCAAAUUACUUGUGCCUUAUCUUGUCUGGUAUAUUGUUUUGAGUCCCUCUGAGGCAGGGACAAAAUGGAAGCGGUUCUUUGAGAGCUAGAAGGAUGAUAAAGAGCAAGGUCUAUUUCUAAG
rnacentral:lncRNA from 1 species